CAGAUAGCUCAGUUGGUAGAGCAAAGGACUGAAAAUCCUUGUGUCGCUGGUUCGAUUCCGGCUCUGGG
rnacentral:tRNA from 1 species